rnacentral:rRNA from 1 species
AGUGAACGCUGGCGGUAGGCCUAACACAUGCAAGUCGAACGAGUGGCGGACGGGUGAGGAAUGUCUGGGAAACUGCCUGAUGGAGGGGGAUAACUAAUGGAAACGGUAGCUAAUACCGCAUACCAUCAGAUGUGCCCAGAUGGGAUUAGCUAGUUGGUGGGGUAACGGCCCACCAAGGCGACGAUCCCUAGCUGGUCUGAGAGGAUGAUCAGCCGCACUGGAACUGAGACACGGUCCAGACUCCUACGGGAGGCAGCAGUGGGGAAUAUUGCACAAUGGGCGCAAGCCUGAUGCAGCCAUGCCGCGUGUAUGAAGAAGGCCUUCGGGUUGUAAAGUACUUUCAGCUGGGAGGCGUUACCCGCAGAAGACGCACCGGCUAACUCCGUGCCAGCAGCCGCGGUAAUAC